CAGCCGCCGCGGUAAUACAGAGGGUGCGAGCGUUAAUCGGAUUUACUGGGCGUAAAGCGUGCGUAGGCGGCUUCUUAAGUCGGAUGUGAAAUCCCUGAGCUUAACUUAGGAAUUGCAUUCGAUACUGGGAAGCUAGAGUAUGGGAGAGGAUGGUAGAAUUCCAGGUGUAGCGGUGAAAUGCGUAGAGAUCUGGAGGAAUACCGGUGGCGAAGGCGGCCCCCUGGACAAAGACUGACGCUCAGGUGCGAAAGCGUGGGGAGCAAACAGGAUUAGAUACCCGGGUAGUCCCUGUCUCUUAUAC
rnacentral:rRNA from 1 species